GAUGAACGCUGGCGGCGUGCCUAAUACAUGCAAGUCGAACGAAACUUCUUUAUCACCGAGUGCUUGCACUCACCGAUAAAGAGUUGAGUGGCGAACGGGUGAGUAACACGUGGGCAACCUGCCCAAAAGAGGGGGAUAACACUUGGAAACAGGUGCUAAUACCGCAUAACCAUAGUUACCGCAUGGUAACUAUGUAAAAGGUGGCUAUACUACCGCUUUUGGAUGGGCCCGCGGCGCAUUAGCUAGUUGGUAGGGUAAAGGCUUACCAAGGCAAUGAUGCGUAGCCGAAUUGAGAGGUUGAUCGGCCACAUUGGGACUGAGACACGGCCCAAACUCCUACGGGAGGCAGCAGUAGGGAAUCUUCCACAAUGGGCGAAAGCCUGAUGGAGCAACGCCGCGUGGGUGAAGAAGGUCUUCGGAUCGUAAAACCCUGUUGUUAGAGAAGAAAGUGCGUGAGAGUAACUGUACACGUUUCGACGGUAUCUAACCAGAAAGCCACGGCUAACUACGUG
rnacentral:rRNA from 1 species